rnacentral:rRNA from 1 species
CUCCCCUAACAUAAGAGGUCCCGCCUGCCCCCUGACUAUAUGUUUAAUGGCCACGGUAUCCUAACCGUGCAAAGGUAGCGCAAUCAUUUGUCUUCUAAUUAAAGACCUGUAUGAAUGGCAUAACGAGAGCUUAACUGUCUCCUCUUUAAAGUCAAUUAAAUUGAUCUCCCCGUGCAGAAGCGGGGAUGCACACAUAAGACGAGAAGACCCUGUGGAGCUUUAGGCACUAAUAUAUAUACAUUACACAAGUAUAUCUUAUAUUUCAACGCCUUUGGUUGGGGCGACCAAGGAGAAUUAACUAACCCCCAUGUGGAAUAGAAACACUUCUUCUUAAACCAAGAGUUACAACUCUAAUUAAUAGAACUUCUAACCAUUCAAGACCCGGCAACGCCGAUCCACGAACCAAGUUACCCCAGGGAUAACAGCGCAAUCCCCUUCAAGAGCCCAUAUCGACAAGGGGGUUUACGACCUCGAUGUUGGAUCAGGACACCCCAAUGAUGCAUCCGUUAUUAAAGGUUCGUUUGUUCAACGAUUAAUGUCCUACGUGAUC